rnacentral:misc_RNA from 1 species
ACGUUACUCCUCACGUGAUUAUUAUAACGGAACCAAAACAAACCACGAUCGGACGCGAAGCUAGCAAUGUCGAUUGACCUGAAUCAGUGUUAUCAAAAAUUUGAGACUCAGUUGAUGACCAAUAUGAAACGCUAUCUAAGGUCAACAUUUUUACACGUAAUUCAGUCGGUGAACUAUCUCUUUAUCUAUGUAGGACUACCAUCUACGUCGCGGAAAAUGGGCGAAAAUCGAACAGCGGAGGAUGUGAAAUCAAAGGCUUUCAGAUGGUGUAAGAAGUCAAUCGGAGGCGCAUGGACUCGAAUAUCCAAGGAAGAUUUAGAAAUAAAACCUAUAAGAUGGGACAGAGCGAGAGGAGAGCGAGCCAUCUCGGGUGCUAAUGAGAGUGUACGGUGAGAUUGCACAACGUAGUGAUUACAUGCUCAGAAACUCUGUCAUUUUUGCCUUGUUUUCGGAGAAAAAGAAAGGGCCCAAGCUAUAUGGAAUGUAUCCAGAAGGCAGAAUUGAAGAAUUCAUUCCUUCAAGAUCGCUGAACCGUAAAGAGCUUCAUGAUGAAAAGAUUUCUCAAACAAUUGCUCAAAAGCUUGCUUAUUUUCAUACACUUGAGAUGCCAUUACCUAAGCAGCCAAAUUUUCUACGGAAGCAGAUGAACGAAUGGAUGGAUGAAGUUGAAAGAAUCCUACAAAAAUCCUCAUCAGUAGAAUUUGGACCUUUUAUCAGAAAGCUGCAAACCUAUCAGCUGAGAAAAGAAUUAUCAGAAUUAUUAUCCAUUAUGGAAAUGUGUUCAUCUCCUGUGUUAUUUUCUCACAAUGAUCUACAAGAAGGUAACAUAUUGUUAAAAGAGGAGAAGUCAGACGACCUGUGUGAGAGACUGACCAUUAUUGAUUGGGAAUAUUGCAGUUACAACUACAGAGGUUUUGAUUUGGGGAAUCAUUUUUGUGAAUGGUCUUGUGAUUAUUCAUGUGAAGCAUAUCCAUUUUACUCCUAUCAUCCAGAGGACUAUCCAUCCAAACAGACACAGAAAGCAUUUUUUCAGCAUUAUUUGGAAGAGCAAAAUAAAUACCUUCCAAACCCGGUGAAAGUUAACGAUGAAUUGUUACAGCAUCUCUACAAGGAAGCCAAUACUUUUGCCAUGACAUCACACUUUUUCUGGGGACUAUGGUCCGUCGUUCAAACAGAAAUUUCAGACAUCGAGUUUGGCUAUCUAGAGUAUGCUAUCACAAGGUUCGAUGGCUAUUUUGCAAAGAAAGAGUCCAAUAAAAGGGAGGAACUCAUCUAAGAAAUCCCUCGCACCAAAGUCAGGGUAAAUUCCAUUGCCAUAUUUGUGGGAGCUUUAAGUCUUUCUUAUACAAUUUUUUUUUCUUUUAAAUUUAUGCAUACUUUUUUUUUUAAUAUAUGGUAUUUGAUUUUCUUUUUACACUUGAAGAUAGUAAUUUUAACUUUGUGAAUCACUGAAGUCAUAUAUAUUUACAUGUGUCCAUAAAUAUACAUACAUUAUUUUUUUAAAAAUAAAUUUGUUGAAUGGU